rnacentral:rRNA from 1 species
UUAAAUCCCUUAUCGAGGAUCCAUUGGAGGGCAAGUCUGGUGCCAGCAGCCGCGGUAAUUCCAGCUCCAAUAGCGUWUAUUAAAGUUGUUGCAGUUAAAACGCUCGUAGUCGGACCUCGGAGCGCCCCCACGGGCCGGGCUUUUGCCUUGUUGCCAGUGGGAGUUUGUCUCCUCUUGUCGGGACGCGGUGUGUGGGGACUUUACUGUCUCUGCGCGUUUACCUGCGGGCCGACCGUUUACUGUGAAGAAAGUAAAGUGUUCAAAGCAGGCCAUUGCCUUGAAUAUGUGAGCAUGGAAUAAUAGAAUAGGACUUGGGCUCUAUUUUGUUGGUUUCCAGUGACCAAGUAAUGAUUAAUAGGGACGGUUGGGGGCAUUCGUAUUUCAUUGUCAGAGGUGAAAUUCUUGGAUUGAUGGAAGACGUACAACUGCGAAAGCAUCUGCCAUGGAUGUUUUCAUUGAUCAAGAACGAAAGUUAGGGGAUCGAAGACGAUCAG